AGAGUUUGAUCAUGGCUCAGGACGAACGCUGGCGGCGUGCUUAAUACAUGCAAGUCGAGCGAGGUUAUGUUGUGGACAUCCUUCGGGAGGGAAGCGAUAUGACCUAGCGGCGGACGGGUGAGUAACGCGUGGGCAAUCUGCCCUAAAGCUCGGGAUAACAGUGGGAAACUGCUGCUAAUACCGGAUGACUUUAUCGGGAGGCAUCUUCGGAUAAAGAAAGUGGUCAAUCAUUGAUUGACCAGCGCUUUAGGAUGAGCCCGCGUCCCAUUAGCUAGUUGGUGAGGUAACGGCUCACCAAGGCGACGAUGGGUAGCCGGCCUGAGAGGGUGAACGGCCACACUGGGACUGAGACACGGCCCAGACUCCUACGGGAGGCAGCAGUAGGGAAUAUUGCGCAAUGGAGGGAACUCUGACGCAGCGACGCCGCGUGAGCGAUGAAGGUUUUCGGAUCGUAAAGCUCUGUCCUUGGGGAAGAAGGGUGCGAAGCAUCUUGACGGUACCUAAGGAGGAAGCCCCGGCUAACUACGUGCCAGCAGCCGCGGUAAUACGUAGGGGGCAAGCGUUGUCCGGAAUUAUUGGGCGUAAAGGGUGCGUAGGCGGCCUUUUAAGUCAGAUGUGAAAGACCACGGCUUAACCGUGGGGUUGCAUUUGAAACUGGAGGGCUUGAGUAUCGGAGAGGGUAGUGGAAUUCCCAGUGUAGCGGUGGAAUGCGUAGAUAUUGGGAGGAACACCAGUGGCGAAGGCGACUACCUGGACGAAAACUGACGCUGAGGCACGAAAGCUAGGGGAGCAAACAGGAUUAGAUACCCUGGUAGUCCUAGCCGUAAACGAUGGGUACUAGGUGUAGGAGGUUUCGAUACCUUCUGUGCCGCAGUUAACGCAAUAAGUACCCCGCCUGGGGAGUACGUGCGCAAGCAUGAAACUCAAAUGAAUUGACGG
rnacentral:rRNA from 1 species